AGUCAAGUAAUUAAGUGCAUGUGGUGGAUGCCUUGGCAGUCAGAGGCGAUGAAAGACGUGAUAGCCUGCGAAAAGCUCCGGGGAGGCGGCAAAUAUCCUUUGAUCCGGAGAUGUCUGAAUGGGGGAACCCACCUACUUUAAGGUAGGUAUUGCAACAUGAAUACAUAGUGUUGCAAGGCGAACGAGGGGAAGUGAAACAUCUCAGUACCCUUAGGAAAAGAAAUCAAUUGAGAUUCCCUCAGUAGCGGCGAGCGAACGGGGAUCAGCCCAUUAAGUUAUGUGUGUUUUAGUGGAACGCUCUGGGAAGUGCGAACGUAGAGGGUGAUAUUCCCGUACACGAAAGGGCACACAUAAUGAUGACGAGUAGGGCGAGGCACGUGAAACCUUGUCUGAAUAUGGGGGGACCAUCCUCCAAGGCUAAAUACUCCUGACUGACCGAUAGUGAACCAGUACCGUGAGGGAAAGGCGAAAAGAACCCCUGUGAGGGGAGUGAAAUAGAUCCUGAAACCGCAUGCAUACAAGCAGUGGGAGCACCUUUUUGGUGUGACUGCGUACCUUUUGUAUAAUGGGUCAGCGACUUAUAUUCAGUAGCGAGGUUAACCGUAUAGGGGAGCCGUAGAGAAAUCGAGUCUUAAUAGGGCGUUUAGUUGCUGGGUAUAGACCCGAAACCAGGCGAUCUAUCCAUGAGCAGGUUGAAGGUUGGGUAACACUAACUGGAGGACCGAACCCACUGUCGUUGAAAAGCCAGGGGAUGACUUGUGGAUAGGGGUGAAAGGCUAAUCAAGCCUGGUGAUAGCUGGUUCUCCCCGAAAGCUAUUUAGGUAGCGCCUCGGACGAAUACCAUAGGGGGUAGAGCACUGUUUCGGCUAGGGGGUCAUCCCGACUUACCAAACCGAUGCAAACUCCGAAUACCUAUGAGUACUAUCCGGGAGACAGACUGCGGGUGCUAACGUCCGUAGUCAAGAGGAAAACAAUCCAGACCGCCAGCUAAGGCCCCAAAAUCAUAGUUAAGUGGGAAACGAUGUGGGAAGGCAUAGACAGCUAGGAGGUUGGCUUAGAAGCAGCCACCCUUUAAAGAAAGCGUAAUAGCUCACUAGUCGAGUCGGCCUGCGCGGAAGAUGUAACGGGGCUAAAACUAUGUGCCGAAGCUGCGGAUGUAUACUUUGUAUACGUGGUAGGGGAGCGUUCUGUAAGCCGAUGAAGGUGUGUUGAGAAGCAUGCUGGAGGUAUCAGAAGUGCGAAUGCUGACGUGAGUAACGACAAAACGGGUGAAAAACCCGUUCGCCGAAAGACCAAGGGUUCCAGUCCAACGUUAAUCGGGGCUGGGUGAGUCGACCCCUAAGGCGAGGCCGAAAGGCGUAGUCGAUGGGAAAAUGGUUAAUAUUCCAUUACUUCUGUGUAAUGCGAUGAGAGGACGGAGAAGGCUAAAUCAGCCUGGCGUUGGUUGUCCAGGUGAAAGGAUGUAGGCAUGUAUCUUAGGCAAAUCCGGGGUACUCUAUGCUGAGAUCUGAUAGCAAGCUGUACUUGUACAGCGAAGUGGUUGAUGCCAUGCUUCCAGGAAAAGUCUCUAAGCUUCAGUUACACAGGAAUCGUACCCGAAACCGACACAGGUGGUCAGGUCGAGUAGACCAAGGCGCUUGAGAGAACUCUGCUGAAGGAACUAGGCAAAAUGGUACCGUAACUUCGGGAGAAGGUACGCUGUUGUUGGUGAUGGAACUCGCUUCCUGAGCUGACGACAGCCGCAGAAACCAGGCCGCUGCAACUGUUUAUUAAAAACAUAGCACUCUGCAAACACGAAAGUGGACGUAUAGGGUGUGAUGCCUGCCCGGUGCUGGAAGGUUAAUUGAUGGGGUUAGCGUAAGCGAAGCUCUUGAUCGAAGCCCCAGUAAACGGCGGCCGUAACUAUAACGGUCCUAAGGUAGCGAAAUUCCUUGUCGGGUAAGUUCCGACCUGCACGAAUGGCAUAAUGAUGGCGGCGCUGUCUCCAGCAGAGGCUCAGUGAAAUCGAAAUCGCUGUGAAGAUGCAGUGUACCCGCGGCUAGACGGAAAGACCCCGUGAACCUUUACUGCAGCUUGACACUGAACUUUGACCUUACUUGUGUAGGAUAGGUGGGAGGCUUUGAAGCUGGAACGCUAGUUCCAGUGGAGCCGUCCUUGAAAUACCACCCUGGUAAUGUUGAGGUUCUAACUCUGUCCCGUGAUCCGGGACGAGGACCGUGUCUGGUGGGUAGUUUGACUGGGGCGGUCUCCUCCUAAAGAGUAACGGAGGAGUACGAAGGUGCGCUCAGCGUGGUCGGAAAUCACGCGUAGAGUAUAAAGGCAAAAGCGCGCUUAACUGCGAGACCCACAAGUCGAGCAGGUACGAAAGUAGGUCUUAGUGAUCCGGUGGUUCUGUAUGGAAGGGCCAUCGCUCAACGGAUAAAAGGUACUCUGGGGAUAACAGGCUGAUACCGCCCAAGAGUUCAUAUCGACGGCGGUGUUUGGCACCUCGAUGUCGGCUCAUCUCAUCCUGGGGCUGAAGCAGGUCCCAAGGGUAUGGCUGUUCGCCAUUUAAAGAGGUACGCGAGCUGGGUUUAGAACGUCGUGAGACAGUUCGGUCCCUAUCUACCGUGGGCGCUGGAAAUUUGAGAGGAUCUGCUCCUAGUACGAGAGGACCAGAGUGGACGAACCUCUGGUGUACCGGUUGUGACGCCAGUCGCAUCGCCGGGUAGCUAUGUUCGGAAGGGAUAACCGCUGAAAGCAUCUAAGCGGGAAGCCUACCUCAAGAUAAGAUUUCCCUAGGACUUUAUGUCCUCUAAAGAGCCGUUCGAGACUAGGACGUUGAUAGGUUGGAUGUGGAAGCAUAGUGAUAUGUGAAGCUGACCAAUACUAAUUGCUCGUGAGGCUUGACUAU
rnacentral:rRNA from 1 species